AGCGAACGCUGGCGGCAGGCCUAACACAUGCAAGUCGAACGAAGUCUUCGGACUUAGUGGCGGACGGGUGAGUAACACGUGGGAACGUGCCCUUUGGUACGGAAUAACUCAGGGAAACUUGAGCUAAUACCGUAUGUGCCCUUCGGGGGAAAGAUUUAUCGCCAUUGGAGCGGCCCGCGUCUGACUAGCUAGUUGGUGAGGUAAAGGCUCACCAAGGCGACGAUCAGUAGCUGGUCUGAGAGGAUGAUCAGCCACAUUGGGACUGAGACACGGCCCAAACUCCUACGGGAGGCAGCAGUGGGGAAUUUUGCGCAAUGGGCGAAAGCCUGACGCAGCCAUGCCGCGUGAAUGAUGAAGGUCUUAGGAUUGUAAAAUUCUUUCACCGGGGACGAUAAUGACGGUACCCGGAGAAGAAGCCCCGGCUAACUUCGUGCCAGCCGCCGCGGUAACAC
rnacentral:rRNA from 1 species